rnacentral:rRNA from 1 species
AUUGCCCUAGUAACGGCGAGUGAAGCGGCAACAGCUCAAAUUUGAAAUCUGGCUCUCUUUGGGGGUCCGAGUUGUAAUUUGCAGAGGAUGCUUUGGCAUUGGCGGCGGUCUAAGUUCCUUGGAACAGGACAUCGCAGAGGGUGAGAAUCCCGUACGUGGGCGCCUGCCUUUGCCGUGUAAAGCUCCUUCGACGAGUCGAGUUGUUUGGGAAUGCAGCUCUAAAUGGGAGGUAAAUUUCUUCUAAAGCUAAAUACCGGCCAGAGACCGAUAGCGCACAAGUAGAGUGAUCGAAAGAUGAAAAGUACUUUGGAAAGAGAGUCAAAAAGCACGUGAAAUUGUUGAAAGGGAAGCGCUUGCAGCCAGACUUGCCCGCAGUUGCUCACCUAGGCUUUGGCCUGGGGCACUCUUCUGCGGGCAGGCCAGCAUCAGUUUGGGCGGUUGGAUAAAGGCCUCUGUCACGUAUCUCCCUUCGGGGUGACCUUAUAGGGGAGGCGCAAUGCAACCAGCCCGGACUGAGGUCCGCGCAUCUGCUAGGAUGCUGGCGUAAUGGCUGUAAGCGGCCCGUCUUGAAACACGGACCAAGGAGUCUAACAUCUAUGCGAGUGUUUGGGUGUCAAGCCCGGGCGCGCAAUGAAAGUGAACGGAGGUGGGAACCCUUUGGGUGCACCAUCGACCGAUCCUGAUGUCUUCGGAUGGAUUUGAGUAAGAGCAUAGCUGUUGGGACCCGAAAGAUGGUGAACUAUGCUUGAAUAGGGUGAAGCCAGAGGAAACUCUGGUGGAGGCUCGCAGCGGUUCUGACGUGCAAAUCGAUCGUCAAAUUUGGGCAUAGGGGCGAAAGACUAAUCGAACCAG